rnacentral:rRNA from 1 species
AGAGUUUGAUCCUGGCUCAGGAUGAACGCUAGCUACAGGCUUAACACAUGCAAGUCGAGGGGAAACGAUAUUGGAAGCUUGCUUCCGAUAGGCGUCGACCGGCGCACGGGUGAGUAACGCGUAUCCAACCUGCCCAUCACUUGGGGAUAACCUUGCGAAAGUAAGACUAAUACCCAAUGACGUCUCUAGAAGACAUCUGAAGGAGAUUAAAGAUUUAUCGGUGAUGGAUGGGGAUGCGUCUGAUUAGCUUGUUGGCGGAGUAACGGCCCACCAAGGCGACGAUCGGUAGCCGGACUGAGAGGUUGAACGGCCACAUUGGGACUGAGACACGGCCCAGACUCCUACGGGAGGCAGCAGUGGGGAAUAUUGCACAAUGGGGGAAACCCUGAUGCAGCGACGCCGCGUGGAGGAAGAAGGUCUUCGGAUUGUAACUCCUGUUGAUGGGGAAGAUAAUGACGGUACCCAACAAGGAAGUGACGGCUAACUACGUGCCAGCAGCCGCGGUAAAACGUAGGUCACAAGCGUUGUCCGGAAUUACUGGGUGUAAAGGGAGCGCAGGCGGGAAGACAAGUUGGAAGUGAAAUCCAUGGGCUCAACCCAUGAACUGCUUUCAAAACUGUUUUUCUUGAGUAGUGCAGAGGUAGGCGGAAUUCCCGGUGUAGCGGUGGAAUGCGUAGAUAUCGGGAGGAACACCAGUGGCGAAGGCGGCCUACUGGGCACCAACUGACGCUGAGGCUCGAAAGUGUGGGUAGCAAACAGGAUUAGAUACCCUGGUAGUCCACACCGUAAACGAUGAUUACUAGGUGUUGGAGGAUUGACCCCUUCAGUGCCGCAGUUAACACAAUAAGUAAUCCACCUGGGGAGUACGACCGCAAGGUUGAAACUCAAAGGAAUUGACGGGGGCCCGCACAAGCAGUGGAGUAUGUGGUUUAAUUCGACGCAACGCGAAGAACCUUACCAAGUCUUGACAUCCGUUGACCGCUGUAGAAAUACAGUUUUCCUUCGGGACAGCGAGACAGGUGGUGCAUGGUUGUCGUCAGCUCGUGUCGUGAGAUGUUGGGUUAAGUCCCGCAACGAGCGCAACCCUUAUGGUCAGUUACUACGCAAGAGGACUCUGGCCAGACUGCCGUUGACAAAACGGAGGAAGGUGGGGAUGACGUCAAAUCAUCAUGCCCUUUAUGACUUGGGCUACACACGUACUACAAUGGCGUUAAACAAAGAGAAGCAAGACCGCGAGGUGGAGCAAAACUCAGAAACAACGUCCCAGUUCGGACUGCAGGCUGCAACUCGCCUGCACGAAGUCGGAAUUGCUAGUAAUCGUGGAUCAGCAUGCCACGGUGAAUACGUUCCCGGGCCUUGUACACACCGCCCGUCACACCAUGAGAGCCGGGGGGACCCGAAGUCGGUAGUCUAACCGCAAGGAGGACGCCGCCGAAGGUAAAACUGGUGAUUGGGGUGAAGUCGUAACAAGGU